rnacentral:rRNA from 1 species
AGCAGCCGCGGUAAUUCCAGCUCCAAUAGCGUAUAUUAAAGUUGUUGCAGUUAAAAAGCUCGUAGUUGAAUUUCGGGAUCAGUACGCCGGUCGUGCCUUCGGUAUGCACUGGUGUCACUGGUUUCUCCCUUCUGAAGAACCAUCAUGCCAUUCAGUUGGUGUGGCGGGGAAUCAGGACUGUUACUUUGAAAAAUUAGAGUGUUUAAAGCAGGCUCGCGCUUGAAUACAUUAGCAUGGAAUAAUGAAAUAGGACGUUUGACCCUAUUUUGUUGGUUUCUAGGAUCGACGUAAUGAUUAAUAGGGAUAGUUGGGGGCAUUAGUAUUCAAUUGUCAGAGGUGAAAUUCUUGGAUUUAUUGAAGACUAACUACUGCGAAAGCAUUUGCCAAGGAUGUUUUCAUUAAUCAAGAACGAAAGUUAGGGGAUCGAAGACGAUCAGAUACCGUCGUAGUCUUAACCAUAAACUAUGCCGACUAGGGAUCGGAUGAUGUUAAUUUUUAAUGACUC